AGAACACUGCUGCUUUGUGGAACAAAGCUGACCCUGACAUAAGAUAAAUCCAGAUACCACUGUUACUGUUUGAGUCAACAGGACAUCUUGACUUUUGCAGAAUGUGCAUUCCACUUCAGAGUUACAACUACGUGAAAGCUUUAAGAUAACCACAACAACAAAAACAAAAGUGUGGCAUCAAAUUGAAUCUGACCUUCUGGCAGUGAGAAUGGAACAAAAUCUUUCCUUCAAAUCCCUCUGGUAUUUGGUGAAUCUUCUCAUCCUAAAGAGCUGACUCUUAUUGAUUACUUUUGUGUUAUAAAAGAAAUAUCAUAUCUGAAAUGCUUUUUAUAAUAAAAGUCUGGAGAUUCUCAGCUACUUUGCUGAGAAGAAUUCUAA